CCUACGGGAGACAGCAGUGGGGAAUAUUGCACAAUGGGGGAAACCCUGAUGCAGCAACGCCGCGUGAGUGAUGACGGCCUUCGGGGUGGAAAGCUCGGUCUGCAGGGACGAAAAUGACGGUACCUGAGGAGGAAGACACGGCUAACUACGUGCCAGCAGCCGCGGUAAUACGUAGGUGGCGAGCGUUGUCCGGAGUUACUGGGCGUAAAGGGAGCGUAGGCGGCCUUUUAAGUGAGAUGUGAAAUCCUCGGGCUCAACGUGAGUUCUGCAUUUCAAACUGGCAGUCUAGAGUGCAGGUGAGUUGACUGGAAUUCCUUGUGUAGCGGUUCAAUGCUUAGAUAUCAGGCAGCACCCCAGUGGCGACGGCGGCUUACUGGACGAUACCUGACGGUGAGGCGCGACCGCGUGGGUAGCACACAGGCUUAGCUACCCGAGUAGUC
rnacentral:rRNA from 1 species